CGUAGGGGGCAAGCGUUAUCCGGAUUUACUGGGUGUAAAGGGAGCGUAGGUGGUUUGAUAAGUCAGAUGUGAAAGCCCGGGGCUCAACCCCGGGACUGCAUUUGAAACUAUUAAACUAGAGUGCAGGAGAGGUAAGUGGAAUUCCUAGUGUAGCGGUGAAAUGCGUAGAUAUUAGGAGGAACACCAGUGGCGAAGGCGGCUUACUGGACUGUAACUGACACUGAGGCUCGAAAGCGUGGGGAGCAAACAGGAUUAGAUACCCUGGUAAGUCCACGCCGUAAACGAUGAAUACUAGGUGUCGGGGGUCAAACGACCUCCGGUGCCGCAGGCUAACGCAAUAAGUAUUCCACCUGGGGAUACGUUCGCAACGAAUG
rnacentral:rRNA from 1 species